UAGACCCGAACCCCGGCGAUCUAGGCAUGACCAGGUUGAAGGUGCAGUAACAUGCACUGGAGGACCGAACCGUUUAAUGUUGAAAAAUUAUCGGAUGAGUUGUGUUUAGGGGUGAAAGGCCAAUCAAGCCGGGAAAUAGCUGGUUCUCCGCGAAAUCUAUUGAGGUAGAGCGUCGGAUGUAUGCCGUUGGGGGUAGAGCACUGGAUGGGCUAGGGGGUCGCGAGAUCUACCAAACCUAACCAAACUCCGAAUACCAACGAGUCUUAUCCGGCAGACAGACGGCGGGUGCUAAGGUCCGUCGUCAAAAGGGAAACAGCCCUAACCUACAGCUAAGGUCCCCAAGUCAUCACUAAGUGGGAAAGCAUGUGGGAUUUCCAAAACAACCAGGAGGUUGGCUUAGAAGCAGCCACCCUUUAAAGAGUGCGUAAUAGCUCACUGGUCAAGUGAUUCCGCGCCGACAAUGUAGCGGGGCUCAAGUCAUCCGCCGAAGCUAUGGCAUUCAGC
rnacentral:rRNA from 1 species